AAAUCCAAAAGAGAGGAGGUAUACGUAUGUCUGGUUCACUUUGCUGUACAGCAGAAAACAACACAACAUUGUAAAGCAACUACAUUCCAAUAAGAAUUUUUUAAAAAGAAAAUAAAGUAGUACCCUACCUCAAGGAAGUCAGAAGUCAAGAAUACCAUAAUGCCUGUCAUCAUGGCAGCCCAAACUCAAAAAUUCAAAUAACUCUCAAUUCAAAUUCUUCUAACAUACCAAAACUCACCAGCACACAGAGGGGCUAAAUGUGGAGGAGGUGAGAAAUCAGUGAAGACCUGAUUAAAAAGAAGGUUUCAGGUGGGGUUUGUGCUCCAGCCACAGUGGAACUUGCAGAAAAUAGCAGAGCAGAUCUAAAGCACAGAGAUCAGGCUGCCCUUUCAGCAGAUCUGCGUUGUAGAAAGGUCUUGUACCCUGUGUGUAUAAUAGGAAAUAAAGGUCCCAUGAUGUUAAAUAACGGGCUGGUGGUAGCGCAGCAAGUGUCAGGGUCAGCACGCAUAUCCAAAAAGGCAAGCGAGGACUGAAGCUGCUGAGGAUUUGGGAAGAAAUUUUUAUUUUACUCUAAGGGCAAUGAGAAGCUCCCUCGGGCAUUUCAGAAAAGGAAAGUAACAUGAGGAAAUCAUUUCUUUCUAAAUUAAUUAGCAAGUGAGCUGAUUCUUCUCCCUUUGCCCUCCUCCCCCGCAAUUCACCGCCCAUCGUCGCCGCAGACUCCAUCUUCUGAGAUGCUGAUCCCUGUGAAUUGAGCUCCCUGGGCUCCCUGCCUGCUGCCUCUGUGAUAGAUUUGGCCGAUGGGUGGCGUGCAGGAAAUGGGGAACAUCUGAAUGGAAUUCUGCCUCUGACUAUAUAAUAGGGGAAGAAAUGCAAGGCAAAACUCUUGUUAGUCAUCCCACGAGUGCCCGGGGGAUGGGUUGGGGUGUUGGCCAUGAGACUGGAGAAGAAGGACAGAAGCCAAAACUUUAAGUUGGUUCCAUGACUGAUUUCAAUCAGUGGAAAACAGUGCUCUGCACAGUAAAUAUUUGCUGAGUUGAAUGCACCAAAAGGAGCUAAGGGAAAAUACAGCAUUAACUCAAGUAUUUCCAACUCGGGUAGAGAUGUCCUGUGAUCCCUUUUCUUUUAUACUAAUCAUUAUUUGACCUCCACGUAAGCAUGGAUAGACACCAGAGCACUGAAUCACCAUCAAUAAGGGAACCUGUUUAAUUUUUCUAGCAAAGAUGAUGGAUCAGAAGAAACCUGUCCAUCUUAGACUGUUUCAGGCCAAUUUGAGAACACGGCAACACUAACUGUCAUAAAAGCAAAUCUUUGACCUCAGCCUCAUGAGCACCAGCGUGAAUGGACUGGCCAUCCAUAUAUCCCAACAAAAACAGGAAUCAGACAUUACCAUUCUCAUUCCGAAAAUAAUUAACCUGUGCAUCCAGAGUCUCCCUCUCACUAAAGUGAUUACAAGGUAAAAAGUUUCCAUAAUUAUAAAUGGUAUUUAUUAAUAGCAUUGGCCAGCUAAACUGUGAUUAAUAAUUAUGUGUCUUGAUAUUCAUCUUCAAAGAGGAUUUUAUGUAUAUUACUUGGUGUUCAAAUAUAUACAUGCUAAAAUUAAAAUAGUUUUAAAUUAA